AGUCAAUGGCAGCGUUCGGUAUGAUCAUUAUAAUCAUCUACGGCUGUCACAUUCUCGCACGAUAGUUGGUGGUGAUAUUAGUAAUGACG
rnacentral:sRNA from 11 species